UACGUAGGCAGCAAGCGUUGUUCGGAGUUACUGGGCGUAAAGGGUGUGUAGGCGGUUUCUUAAGUUUGGUGUGAAAUCUCCCGGCUCAACUGGGAGGGUGCGCCGAAUACUGAGUGACUCGAGUGCGGGAGAGGAAAGUGGAAUUCCUGGUGUAGCGGUGAAAUGCGUAGAUAUCAGGAGGAACACCGGUGGUGUAGACGGCUCACUGGACCGGUACUGACGCUGAUGCGCGAAAGCGUGGGGAGCAAACGGG
rnacentral:rRNA from 1 species